rnacentral:rRNA from 1 species
ACUCCGUACGGGAGGCAGCAGGUGGGGAAUCUUGGACAAUGGGGGGACCAACCCUGAUCCAGCCAUGCCGCGUGAGUGAAUGAAGGCCUUAGGGUCGUAAAGCUCUUCGCCUGUGAUGAUAAUGACAGUAGCAGGUAAAGAAACCCCGGCUAACUCCGUGCCAGCAGCCGCGGUAAUACGGAGGGGUUAGCGUUGUUCGGAAUUACUGGGGCGUAAAGCGCGCGUAGGCGGAUUAGUCAGUUAGAGGUGAAAUCCCAGGGGCUCAACCCUGGAACUGCCUUUAAUACUGGCUAGUCUUGAGUUCGAGAGAGGUGAGUGGAAUUCCGAGUGUAGAGGUGGAAAUUCGUAGAUAUUCGGAGGAACACCAGUGGCGAAGGCGGCUCACUGGCUCGAUACUGACG